GUCCUACACAGAGCCAGACCCCAGCAUGUGAUUCAGACCUCGACAAGUGAAUCUGCUAAGAAUACUGCAUAAUUUUGGGACCUGAGAAAUUCUACUUUGAAAACCAGCCUUCUUAUGGGUUCUCAGGUCUCAAAUGGAGAGUGUAAUUUUCAUCAAAUCAAAGGUCAUCAGAUCAUGAAGAAAAUGUUUUGCUGAUACAUCCUCACUGAAUAAGUAACCAAUUCAAUAAAAAUGUACUGACUACCUUUUAAGGGCUA